rnacentral:rRNA from 1 species
UAGUCAUAUGCUUGUCUCAAAGACUAAGCCAUGCAUGUCUAAGUAUAAACGUUUUGUACAGUGAGACUGCGGAUGGCUCAUUAAAUCAGUUAUAGUUUAUUUGAUGAUCUUCUACUACUUGGAUAACCGUAGUAAUUCUAGAGCUAAUACAUGCGCAAAGUCCCGACUGUGGCUUCGGCUACUGGAAGGGAUGUAUUUAUUAGAUUAAAAACCAAUACAGGUCACAAGCCUGUUCUAUUGGUGAUUCAUAAUAACUGAGCGAAUCGCACAAAAAUCCUUCACGGGAUGGCGAUGGUUCAUUCAAAUUUCUGCCCUAUCAACUUUCGAUGGUAGUGUAUUGGACUACCAUGGUGAUAACGGGUAACGGAGAAUUAGGGUUCGAUUCCGGAGAGGGAGCCUGAGAGAUGGCUACCACUUCUAAGGAAGGCAGCAGGCGCGCAAAUUACCCAAUCCCGACACGGGGAGGUAGUGACAAUAAAUAACAAUACAGGUCUUGAACAAAGUCGUGUAAUUGGAAUGAGAGCAAUUUAAACACUUCAUCGAGUAACAAUU